UACAGAGGAGCCAAGCGUUGUCCGGAUUGACUGGGCGUAAAGCGCACGCAGGCGGACGCGCGCGUGGGGUGUGAAAUCUGGCCGCUUAACGGCCAGGCGCCAUCCCAUACGGCGUGUCUGGAGUGAUGCAGAGGUCGGUGGAAUUGCCGGUGUAGUGGUGAAAUGCGUAGAGAUCGGCAGGAACACCCCAGGGGGAAACCAGCCGACUGGGCAUCUACUGACGCUGAGGUGCGAGAGCGUGGGGAGCGAACCGG
rnacentral:rRNA from 1 species